UACGAAGGGUGCAAGCGUUACUCGGAAUCACUGGGCGUAAAGCGUGCGUAGGCGGUUCGUUAAGUCGGGUGUGAAAGCCCCGGGCUCAACCCGGGAAUUGGCAUUCGAGACUGAAUAGCUAGGGUACGGUAGAGGGAAGUGGAAUUUCCGGUGUAGCGGUGAAAUGCGUAGAUAUCGGAAGGAACAUCAGUGGCGAAAGCGACUUCCUGGACCAGUACCGACGUUCAGGCACGAAAGCGUGGGGAGCAAACAGG
rnacentral:rRNA from 1 species